rnacentral:rRNA from 1 species
AUUGAACGCUGGCGGCAGGCCUAACACAUGCAAGUCGAGCGGAGCGGCGGACGGGGGAGUAAUGCCUAGGAAUCUGCCUGGUAGUGUGGGAUAACGUCCGGAAACGGGCGCUAAUACCGCCUACUAUCAGAUUAGCCUAGGUCGGAUUAGCUAGUGGGUGGGGUAAAGGCCUACCAAGGCGACGACCCGUAACUGGUCUGAGAGGAUGAUCAGUCAAACUGGAACUUGGACACGGUCCAGACUCCUACGGGAGGCAGCAGUGGGGAAUAUUGGACAAUGGGCGAAAGCCUGAUCCAGCCAUGCCGCGUGUGUGAAGAAGGUCUUCGGAUUGUAAAGCACUUUAAGUUGGGAGGCGUUACCAACAGAAUAAGCACCGGCUAACUUCGUGCCAGCCGCCGCGGUAAUUC